UACGUAGGGUGCGAGCGUUAAUCGGAAUUACUGGGCGUAAAGCGUGCGCAGGCGGUCUGUUAAGACCGAUGUGAAAUCCCCGGGCUUAACCUGGGAACUGCAUUGGUGACUGGCAGGCUUUGAGUGUGGCAGAGGGAGGUAGAAUUCCACGUGUAGCAGUGAAAUGCGUAGAGAUGUGGAGGAAUACCGAUGGCGAAGGCAGGUCUCUGGGCUGACACUGACGCUCAUGCACGAAAGCGUGGGGAGCAAACAGG
rnacentral:rRNA from 1 species